rnacentral:rRNA from 1 species
UAGCCUACGGGGGGCAGCAGUGAGGAAUAUUGGUCAAUGGGCGCAAGCCUGAACCAGCCAAGUCGCGUGAGGGAUGACGGUCCUAUGGAUUGUAAACCUCUUUUGUCGGGGAGCAAGGUCCGCCACGUGUGGCGGGAAGGAGAGUACCCGAAGAAAAAGCAUCGGCUAACUCCGUGCCAGCAGCCGCGGUAAUACGGAGGAUGCGAGCGUUAUCCGGAUUUAUUGGGUUUAAAGGGUGCGUAGGCGGACUGUUAAGUCAGCGGUAAAAGCCCGGGGCUCAACCCCGGCGAGCCGUUGAAACUGGG